CGCAUGGGAGGCGCAUAGCUAGACACAAACUGCGUAGUAAAUCGAAUCAAGCGGGGACUUGAGGAGAGAGGCUGCGUAGUCAUUGUUGAACCAAGUCUGCAGUGCGAAUCCGGUCUUAAUAAACCAGACCUGGUGGCACUACGACAAAAUCACAUUGAUGUGAUCGACAUACAAAUUGUGACAGACGGACACUCUAUGGAUGAUGCACACCAGCGCAAAAUCAAUAGAUACGACAGACCGGACAUACGAACUGAGUUGCGUCGCAGAUUCGAAGCCGCAGGUGACAUUGAAUUCCAUUCUGCCACCCUGAACUGGAGGGGGAUCUGGAGUGGUCAAUCCGUUAAAAGAUUGAUAGCGAAGGGUCUCCUCAGCAAAUAUGAUAGUCAUAUCAUUAGCGUCCAGGUUAUGAGAGGCAGUCUCGGUUGUUUUAAACAGUUCAUGUACCUGAGCGGGUUUUCCCGAGAUUGGACUUAGCUAAAACGUUUGGUUCAAAACAUUUGCUUGCUGUCUUGGCAUAACAUCAAUAAAGGCAUAAACAUCGCAAAUAAUGGUAAUAUAUAAAUUGGCUAUGAGGAUGGUUUUAGUACGUAGGCGUUGCGGAACUUCGGUUCAGAUAGAGCAAUGAAUCGUGCAUGCUAGGAAACUGAAGUGUUGACAGACCUAGUAUCUUUCGAUAGAUUUCCAUACCUCCGCGAUCAAAAAAAAAAAAAAAAAAAAAAAAAAUAGCCAAAUGCCUCGUCAUCUAAUUAGUGACGCGCAUGAAUGGAUUAACGAGAUUCCUACUGUCCCUAUCUACUAUCUAGCGAAACCACAGCCAAGGGAACGGGCUUGGAAUAAUUAGCGGGGAAAGAAGACCCUUUUGAGCUUGACUCUAAUCUGGCAGUGUAAGGAGACAUAAGAGGUGUAGAAUAAGUGGGAGAUAUUAGACCUCGGUUUGGUAUCGUCAAUGAAAUACCACUACUCUUAUUGUUUCCUUACUUACUUGAUUAAAUGGAACGUGUAUCAUUUCCUAGCCAUUAUACGGAUAUAUUUAUUAUAUCUUAUGGUAUUGGGUUUUGAUGCAAGCUUCUUGAUCAAAGUAUCACGAGUUUGUUAUAUAAUCGCAAACAAAUUCUUUAAUAAAACGAUGCAUUUAUGUAUUUUUGAUUUGAAAAUUUGGUAUAACUCCAAUUACUCAGGUAUGAUCCAAUUCAAGGACAUUGCCAGGUAGGGAGUUUGACUGGGGCGGUACAUCUCUCAAAUAAUAACGGAGGUGUCCCAAGGCCAGCUCAGUGCGGACAGAAACCACACAUAGAGCAAAAGGGCAAAUGCUGACUUGAUCUCGGUGUUCAGUACACACAGGGACAGCAAAAGCUCGGCCUAUCGAUCCUUUUGGUUUAAAGAGUUUUUAACAAGAGGUGUCAGAAAAGUUACCAUAGGGAUAACUGGCUUGUGGCGGCCAAGCGUUCAUAGCGACGUCGCUUUUUGAUCCUUCGAUGUCGGCUCUUCCUAUCAUUGUGAAGCAAAAUUCACCAAGCGUUGGAUUGUUCACCCAUGCAAGGGAACGUGAGCUGGGUUUAGACCGUCGUGAGACAGGUUAGUUUUACCCUACUAAUGACAAAACGUUGUUGCGACAGCAUUCCUGCGUAGUACGAGAGGAACCGCAGGUACGGACCAAUGGCACAAUACUUGUUCGAGCGAACAGUGGUAUGACGCUACGUCCGUUGGAUUAUGCCUGAACGCCUCUAAGGUCGUAUCCGUGCUGGACUGCAAUGAUAAAUAAGGGGCAAUUUGCAUUGU
rnacentral:rRNA from 1 species